ACAACGUAGUUCAUGCUCUUGUUGCUGAGGAUAGUGGGGAUGAAUCGGAUCAUGUCUCUAAUACCCAACAAAGUAGUUUAUGGUUGUUUAACUUUACGAUGUUUAAGUGUUUGAAUGUAGUUUUAAGGAUAUUUAGAAGUACUUUAAAUUGAAACUUGAGGUUGAAUUUGAUUUUAGAAUGUGAAGUUUAUGAUUGUAGAAGUACUUUGAUGAAUUGGACGUGUUGAUGAAUUGCAUUGUUGAUUUGGUUGA